rnacentral:rRNA from 1 species
UACAGAGGGGGCAAGCGUUGUUCGGAAUUACUGGGCGUAAAGGGCGCGUAGGCGGCCGCCUAAGUCAGACGUGAAAUCCCUCGGCUCAACCGGGGAACUGCGUCUGAUACUGGGUGGCUUGAAUCCGGGAGAGGGAUGCGGAAUUCCAGGUGUAGCGGUGAAAUGCGCAGAUAUCAGGAGGAACACCGAUGGCGAAGGCAGGUCUCUGGGCAUUAACUGACGCUGAGGAGCGAAAGCAUGGGGAGCGAACAGG